CCUACGGGAGGCAGCAGUAGGGAAUCUUCCGCAAUGGACGAAAGUCUGACGGAGCAACGCCGCGUGAACGAUGAAGGCCUUCGGGUCGUAAAGUUCUGUUGUUAGGGAAGAACAAGUGCUAGUUGAAUAAGCUGGCACCUUGACGGUACCUAACCAGAAAGCCACGGCUAACUACGUGCCAGCAGCCGCGGUAAUACGUAGGUGGCAAGCGUUGUCCGGAAUUAUUGGGCGUAAAGCGCGCGCAGGCGGUUUCUUAAGUCUGAUGUGAAAGCCCCCGGCUCAACCGGGGAGGGUCAUUGGAAACUGGGAAACUUGAGUGCAGAAGAGGAAAGUGGAAUUCCAAGUGUAGCGGUGAAAUGCGUAGAGAUUUGGAGGAACACCAGUGGCGAAGGCGACUUUCUGGUCUGUAACUGACGCUGAGGCGCGAAAGCGCGGGGAGCAAACAGGAUUAGAUACCCUGGUAGUCCACGCUGUAAACGAUGAGUGCUAAGUGUUAGAGGGUUUCCGCCCUUUAGUGCUGAAGUUAACGCAUUAAGCACUCCGCCUGGGGAUACGGUCGCAAGACUGAAACUUAAAUGAAUUGACGG
rnacentral:rRNA from 1 species